rnacentral:lncRNA from 1 species
UUGCUUUGGCAACAUUUUUGACAAAAAGGGGGAGUAACAUAUGUGCCCCAAGAUAACAGAUUUGCUAUGUGCUUGAACAGAUAUUGAAGAUCCUCUAAUCCAGAGGUUGUGCUGCAGCUUGAUGUUCACCUUCUAUGUGUGAUGAGUGUGAGUGUGUUUCUGUUUACUAUCUGCAUGUGUGUUAUUGUUUGAAGUUUUUAUUUAACUUAUAUGUGUGCUGCUGUUUGAAGUUUUUCUUUAACUUCUGUGUGUGCUGCUAUUUGAAGUUUUUAUUUAACUUCUAUGUGUGCU